rnacentral:lncRNA from 1 species
GGCUUAAUUGGACAUUUGGUCCUCUAAAUAAUUAUGCGUUUACAUUUUGGUCCCAUAAAUUGUAAAACUCACAUUUUGGUCCUCUUGGUUUUGAUCUGUCAGUCAAAAAGGUCCUAACUGUUAACUUUAACCCCCAAAUGUCUAUGGUGGAUCAACUUUAAAAAUGGUCCACCAUAGAUCCUAUUAAUUAUUCUAAUUUAAACCGUUUGAUUUUUUUUAAACAGGAGGGUCAUUGGAUUACGCAGGUGUAUUUUAUCUUACGGUGAGUCAACAACAACUAAUUAAUUCUCCCUUUCUUCAUCUUCUUCCUCACCCUUCUUCAUCAUCUUCAUACCGUUUUCAUUAACAUUCAUAAGAAAAAAAAUCCAGAAAAAUAUAAAAACCCCACAAUUUCUUCUUCUCUUUACAAAACACAUUCCACCUUGUAAUUCUUCUUUCAUUUCCUUUUCUUUCUUCCUCUCUUUACAAAACCAUACUCUCCCUCUUCUCCUUUUCCGACCGAAAUUUCCGGCCUCCCACCGUGGUGUUUUCGGCCCUCUUUUGCCAAACAAAAUACAUAAUAGUCAUCCUCUCUUUGUUCUCUAUCUCUUCCUGAAAUUAAAUUUUAGAUAGGAGGCAUUUUUUUAGUUUCCAAACCGUCACUUUCAUUCUAGAUCUAGACCACCACAAAAUGUCAUGUGACAAACCACCAACAUAAACAUACUUUCUUCAUAUUCUCUACAAAAUCCACAAAGAAAAACCAAUAUUGGGUGACCUUGCUCCGGUGACCACCGCGUCGAAAAAUGGUACCACUGCGUCGGAACAUAUCACCACCGCAUCCCUGUUGCGUGUAUGUUGUUGUUGUUGUUGCGUGUAUGCGCCCGGAAAAUGAUACCACCGCGUCGGAACAUAUCACUCAUUGAAAAGGGAAUUCUAAUGCUUCUCAAUGAUGUAAAUAGCACUAUUUGUUAGAGUUUUUUUAUUUUGCUGGAUAAUGGUGGUGAUGAAGGUUGUUGUUUAUGUGUAGUGAUGAGAUGAUGGUGGUGAAUUUUUCUUGAAGGUCAUUGUAAUUUUUGUGUUAUGUUGUGUUUCUUUGAAUUUGUAUUUUGGAAGGAAAAAAAAAAUCUGAAAAAAUGUUUAUAG